rnacentral:rRNA from 1 species
AAUGAACGCUGGCGGCAGGCCUAACACAUGCAAGUCGAACGGAUCCUUCGGGAUUAGUGGCGGACGGGUGAGUAACGCGUGGGAACAUACCCUUUGGUACGGAAUAGCCUCGGGAAACUGGGAGUAAUACCGUAUGUGGUCGAGAGACGAAAGAUUUAUCGCCAAAGGAUUGGCCCGCGUUGGAUUAGGUAGUUGGUGGGGUAAUGGCCUACCAAGCCGACGAUCCAUAGCUGGUUUGAGAGGAUGAUCAGCCACACUGGGACCGAGACACGGCCCAGACUCCUACGGGAGGCAGCAGUGGGGAAUCUUAGACAAUGGGGGAAACCCUGAUCUAGCCAUGCCGCGUGAUCGAUGAAGGCCUUAGGGUUGUAAAGAUCUUUCAGGUGGGAAGAUAAUGACUGUACCACCAGAAGAAGCCCCGGCUAACUCCGUGCCAGCCGCAGCAGUAACAC